GAUGAACGCUGGCGGCGUGCCUAAUACAUGCAAGUCGAGCGAACGGACGAGAAGCUUGCUUCUCUGAUGUUAGCGGCGGACGGGUGAGUAACACGUGGAUAACCUACCUAUAAGACUGGGAUAACUUCGGGAAACCGUAGCUAAUACCGGAUAAUAUUUUGAACCGCAUGGUUCAAAAGUGAAAGACGGUCUUGCUGUCACUUAUAGAUGGAUCCGCGCUGCAUUAGCUAGUUGGUAAGGUAACGGCUUACCAAGGCAACGAUGCAUAGCCGACCUGAGAGGGUGAUCAGCCACACUGGAACUGAGACACGGUCCAGACUCCUACGGGAGGCAGCAGUAGGGAAUCUUCCGCAAUGGGCGAAAGCCUGACGGAGCAACGCCGCGUGAGUGAUGAAGGUCUUCGGAUCGUAAAACUCUGUUAUUAGGGAAGAAAAUAUGUGUAAGUAACUGUGCACAUCUUGACGGUUCCUAAUCAGAAAGCCACGGCUAACUACGUG
rnacentral:rRNA from 1 species